CCCGCCGGACCUGACUGCUAUCGGAUUGAUACUAAGCCAUGCGAGUCAUUGUAGUAAUACAAGGCAGACGGCUCAGUAACGCGUAGUCAACCUACCCUAUGGACGGGGAUAACCUCGGGAAACUGAGAAUAGUACCCGAUAGAACAUUAUGCCUGGAAUGGUUUAUGUUUCAAAUAAUUUAUUGCCGUAGGAUGGGACUGCGGCCUAUCAGUUUGUUGGUGAGGUAAUGGCCCACCAAGACUAUUACAGGUACGGGCUCUGAGAGGAGUAGCCCGGAGAUGGGUACUGAGACACGGACCCAGGCCCUAUGGGGCGCAGCAGGCGAGAAAACUUUGCAAUGUGCGAAAGCACGACAAGGUUAAUCCGAGUGGUUUCUGCUAAAGGAACCUUUUGUCAGUCCUAGAAACACUGAUGAAUAAGGGGUGGGUAAGUUCUGGUGUCAGCCGCCGCGGUAAAACCAGCACCUCAAGUGGUCAGGAUGAUUAUUGGGCCUAAAGCAUCCGUAGCCUGCUUUGUAAGUUUUCGGUUAAAUCCAUACGCUCAACGUAUGGGCUGCCGGGAAUACUGCAAAGCUAGGGAGUGGGAGAGGUAGACGGUACUCGGUAGGAAGGGGUAAAAUCCUUUGAUCUAUUGAUGACCACCUGUGGCGAAGGCGGUCUACCAGAACACGUCCGACGGUGAGGGAUGAAAGCUGGGGGAGCAAACCGGAUUAGAUACCCGGGUAGUCCCAGCUGUAAACUAUGCAAACUCAGUGAUGCAUUGGCUUGAUGCCAAUGCAGUGCUGCAGGGAAGCCGUUAAGUUUGCCGCCUGGGAAGUACGUACGCAAGUAUGAAACUUAAAGGAAUUGGCGGGGGAGCACCACAA
rnacentral:rRNA from 1 species